rnacentral:rRNA from 1 species
GACGAACGCUGACGGCGUGCUUUAGACAUGCAAGUCGAACGAGAAAGCCCUUCGGGGUUAGUAAAGUGGCGAACGGGUGAGUAACACGUGGGCAAUCUGCCCUUCGUUGGGGGACAACCGGGGGAAACCCCGGCUAAUACCCCGUAAGCUUGUCGGGUCGCAUGGCCUGACAAGGAGAGGUAGCUUCGGCCGUCCGGCGAAGGAGGAGCCCGCGGUACAUUAGCUAGUUGGUGAGGUAAAGGCCCACCAAGGCGACGAUGUAUAGCUGGUCUGAGAGGAGGAUCAGCCACACUGGGACUGAGACACGGCCCAGACUCCUACGGGAGGCAGCAGUCGGGAAUCCUGCACAAUGGGCGAAAGCCUGAUGCAGCAACGCCGUGUGAGCGACGAAGGCCCUAGGGUCGUAAAGCUCUGUUGUUAGGGACGAAGGGCGAAGGGUUAAUAGCCCUUAGCCUGACGGUACCUUUCGAGGAAGCCCCGGCUAACUACGUGCCAGCCGCCGCCGUAAUAC